rnacentral:rRNA from 1 species
AUACGAAGGGUGCAAGCGUUACUCGGAAUUACUGGGCGUAAAGCGUGCGUAGGUGGUUUGUUAAGUCUGUCGUGAAAGCCCCGGGCUCAACCUGGGAAUUGCGAUGGAUACUGGCUAACUAGAGUGUGGCAGAGGGUAGUGGAAUUCCUGGUGUAGCAGUGAAACGCGUAGAGAUCAGGAGGAACAUCCGUGGCGAAGGCGACUGCCUGGGCCAACACUGACACUGAGGCACGGAAGCGUGGGGAGC